rnacentral:rRNA from 1 species
AGUGAACGCUGGCGGUAGGCCUAACACAUGCAAGUCGAACGGCAGCACAGUAAGAGCUUGCUCUUACGGGUGGCGAGUGGCGGACGGGUGAGGAAUACAUCGGAAUCUACUUUUUCGUGGGGGAUAACGUAGGGAAACUUACGCUAAAACCGCAUACGACCUACGGGUGAAAGCAGGGGAUCUUCGGACCUUGCGCGAUUGAAUGAGCCGAUGUCGGAUUAGCUAGUUGGCGGGGUAAAGGCCCACCAAGGCGACGAUCCGUAGCUGGUCUGAGAGGAUGAUCAGCCACACUGGAACUGAGACACGGUCCAGACUACUACGGGAGGCAGCAGUGGGGAAUAUUGGACAAUGGGCGCAAGCCUGAUCCAGCCAUACCGCGUGGGUGAAGAAGGCCUUCGGGUUGUAAAGCCCUUUUGUUGGGAAAGAAAAACAGCAGGUUAAUACCCCGCUGUUCUGACGGUACCCAAAGAAUAAGCACCGGCUAACUUCGUG